AAGCAUGGCGCAGCAGACAUACAGACAGGCGUGGGGGAAACUUCUCUAAGGGUUGCGACAGAUGAUAGAGCUGAACCCACUGUCUACAUCGCGAGGGAUGUGAGUGUAGAUCAUUGCAAUUGGCCAGGUUUUUUGUUGUUGGCUGGAAAAGCCUAUACAGAAGUUACCUUGAUGGCGAGCUGAAGCCCAGGAACGAACAGAGCCAAGGAAAAUAACAAAUACACCUGCUCAGGAAUCAUCAUCUCUCUUCAUCUCCACCUGUGCGGUAGGAGCUGUUUGGCCCAGUUCCCCAUUGGUUUUGCUGCUGCCAUAUCACAAACUGUGGCUGAUGAAAGAAACGGAACUUAUAAGCUUUUUACAAUACCAACUCCU